AGGGUGUAAACGCUGCGGGCUUGGUGUUGGGGGUCCUUUGAGGGCGCCCAGUGCCGGAGAGAAGUUGUUAAGCCUGCUGCUUGGGGAGUACGUCCGCAAGGAUGAAACUUAAAGGAAUUGGCGGGGGAGCACCACAACGGGUGGAGCUUGCGGUUUAAUUGGAUUCAACGCCGGAAAUCUUACCGGGACCGACAGCAACAUGAAGGCCAGGCUGAAGACUUUGCCGGAUUAGCUGAGAGGAGGUGCAUGGCGUAGUCGUGU
rnacentral:rRNA from 1 species